rnacentral:rRNA from 1 species
UUCCGGUUGAUCCUGCCGGACCCUACUGCUAUCGGGGUGGGACUAAGACAUGCGAGUUGAGCGUCUCUAAGCUAUGGUAGAGACGCGGCGUACGGCUCAGUAACACGUGGCUAACCUACCCUUAGGACGGGGACAACCCCGGGAAACUGGGGCUAAUACCCGAUAGGCGAGGAGGCCUGGAAUGGUUCUUAGUCGAAAAGGCGUUGAAACCAUGCUUUUCGACGUUGCCUAAGGAUGGGGCCGCGCCCGAUCAGGUUGUUGGUGGGGUAACGGCUCACCAAGCCUAUAACCGGUACGGGCCGUGGGAGCGGGAGCCCGGAGAUGGGCACUGAGACAAGGGCCCAGGCCCUACGGGGCGCAGCAGUCGCGAAAACUCCGCAAUGCGCGAAAGCGUGACGGGGCUACCCCGAGUGCCGUCCGCUGAGGAUGGCUUUUCCCCGGUGUAAUGAGCCGGGGGAAUAAGGAGAGGGCAAGUCUGGUGUCAGCCGCCGCGGUAAUACCAGCUCUCCGAGUGGUAGGGAUGAUUAUUGGGCUUAAAGCGUCCGUAGCCGGCUUAGCAAGUCUCCUGUUAAAUUCAGCGACCUAAUCGUUGAGCCGCGGGAGAUACUACUAGGCUAGGAGGCGGGAGAGGCCGACGGUAUUCUCGGGGUAGGGGUGAAAUCCUAUAAUCCCGGGAGGACCACCAGUGGCGAAGGCUGUCGGCUAGAACGCGCUCGACGGUGAGGGACGAAAGCUGGGGGAGCGAACCGGAUUAGAUACCCGGGUAGUCCCAGCUGUAAACGAUGCGGGCUAGGUGUUGGGGUGGCUACGAGCCACUUCAGUGCCGCAGGGAAGCCAUUAAGCCCGCCGCCUGGGGAGUACGGCCGCAAGGCUGAAACUUAAAGGAAUUGGCGGGGGAGCACCACAAGGCGUGAAGCUUGCGGUUCAAUUGGAGUUCGCGCCGGG